rnacentral:rRNA from 1 species
UACGAAGGGGGCUAGCGUUGUUCGGAAUUACUGGGCGUAAAGGGCGCGUAGGCGGUGUGUCAAGUCAGGCGUGAAAGCCCCGGGCUCAACCUGGGAACCGCGCUUGAGACUGGCACGCUAGAGUUCGGGAGAGGAUGGUGGAAUUCCCAGUGUAGAGGUGAAAUUCGUAGAUAUUGGGAAGAACACCGAUGGCGAAGGCAGAUCUCUGGGCCGUAACUGACGCUGAGGAGCGAAAGCAUGGGGAGCGAACAGG